AGCAUCUCCACUCGUGAUCAGACCGCUUGCUCGUGGGCCUCUACCCUCUGCUCCAGCUCCACAGGGGUACAAACCGAUCUGCUGUACUAACCUUGCACUUUCAUGGAAGCCACCAAAAAGAAUUAGCUGUCGCUUCCAGGCCACCAUCCGAUGCCCGCUUCGACCUGAAGGACCCCCUGUUGAUCUAAAAUGAAGAGGAAUAAAAAAACAAUACAUUAGGGCUGGAGAGAUGACUCAGCAGUUGAGAGGUCUGGAGUUCAAUCCCCAGCAACCACAUAGUGGCUCACAACCAUCUGUAAUGGAUUCUGAUGCCCUAUUCUACUGUGUAUGACGACAGCAACAGUGCACUCACAUACAAUAAAUAAAUAAAUAAAUAAAUAAAUCUUUAAAAAGUUAAAAAAAA
ensembl:antisense Gm20406 predicted gene 20406